UACGUAGGGGGCAAGCGUUGUCCGGAAUUAUUGGGCGUAAAGAGCUCGUAGGCGGCUUGUCACGUCGGGUGUGAAAGCCCGGGGCUUAACCCCGGGUCUGCAUUCGAUACGGGCUAGCUAGAGUGUGGUAGGGGAGAUCGGAAUUCCUGGUGUAGCGGUGAAAUGCGCAGAUAUCAGGAGGAACACCGGUGGCGAAGGCGGAUCUCUGGGCCAUUACUGACGCUGAGGAGCGAAAGCGUGGGGAGCGAACAGG
rnacentral:rRNA from 1 species